rnacentral:lncRNA from 1 species
UUAAACUUUACCACUUUUCCUCAUAUAUAUAUAUGAUAUAUUUUUCAAUAUUCACUAAUUAUUCUAUUGUUUAUUUUCCGAGAAAAAUUUGUAGUCUGUCUUACCUACCACGACCGGUCAUUUGACCGGUAGUACGAUUUAUACAUUUAUGUAAGAGUUUCUCUCUAAGACUCAAUGCCAAAACUAUAAAGUCGUUACAAACGAAAGUUCUCACUCGACUAUCGGGCUAGCGGUGUUUAUUUGCUUGAUUGAUAUCCGAUACGGUCAAGAUCCUCGAAUGUUCUACGCCAUCUUAUCUACUAUGACGUAAAAUAAAUAAACUUGUAACUGAAGGAAGUAUAUAGACGUCUUCUCACGAAUUCAAAUCAGUAUAGUCUUGCGACACGAACAGAGUGCAUCGAACGUGAAA